AGGAUGAACGCUGGCGGCGUGCCUAACACAUGCAAGUCGAACGUCCUGUCUCGCAAGAGGCAGGGAGUGGCGGACGGGUGAGUACCACGUGGGUCAUCUACCGUGAGGUGAGGAAUACCGGCGAGAAAUCGCCGACAAGACCGCAUAGCCUCGGUGCAAGUCGAGGAAAGCUCUCUCGAGAGAGGGAGCGCCACACGAGGAGCCUGCGCCCGAUUAGCUAGCUGGUGGAGUAAUGGUUCACCAGGGCGACGAUCGGUAGCUGGUCUGAGAGGACGAUCAGCCACACUGGGAUUGAGAACGGCCCAGACUCCUACGGGGGCAGCAGUGAGGAAUUUUCGUCAAUGGGGCAACCCUGAACGAGCAACGCCGCGUGCAGGAAGAAGGUUUCGGAUCGUAAACUGCUUUUCUCGGGGAAGAGAACGGACGGUACCGAGGAAUCAGCCCGGCUAACUACGUGCCAGCACGCCGC
rnacentral:rRNA from 1 species